rnacentral:rRNA from 1 species
UGGGGAAUAUUGCACAAUGGGCGAAAGCCUGAUGCAGCAACGCCGCGUGAGUGAUGAAGGUCUUCGGAUUGUAAAGCUCUGUCUUUUGGGACGAUAAUGACGGUACCAAAGGAGGAAGCCACGGCUAACUACGUGCCAGCAGCCGCGGUAAUACGUAGGUGGCGAGCGUUGUCCGGAUUUACUGGGCGUAAAGGGUGCGUAGGCGGAUGUUUAAGUGAGAUGUGAAAUACCCGGGCUUAACUUGGGUGCUGCAUUUCAAACUGGAUAUCUAGAGUGCAGGAGAGGAGAAUGGAAUUCCUAGUGUAGCGGUGAAAUGCGUAGAGAUUAGGAAGAACACCAGUGGCGAAGGCGAUUCUCUGGACUGUAACUGACGCUGAGGCACGAAAGCGUGGGUAGCAAACAGGAUUAGAUACCCUGGUAGUCCACACCGUAAAACGAUGAGUACUAGGUGUAGGAGGUAUCGACCCCUUCUGUGCCGCAGUAAACACAUUAAGUACUCCGCCUGGGAAGUACGAUCGCAAGAUUAAAACUCUAAAGUGAAUUGAC